rnacentral:rRNA from 1 species
CCCUUAGAUGUUCUGGGCCGCACGCGUGCUACACUGAGUGGAUCAGCGGGUCAGGUUGCGCGAAAGCGUUUCCUAAUCUUUAAAUCCGCUCGUGAUGGGGAUUGACGGUUGCAAUUUUCUGUCAUGAACGAGGAAUACCUUGUAAGCGCGGGUCAUCAUCCCGCGCUGAAUACGUCCCUGCCCUUUGUACACACCGCCCGUCGCUCCUACCGAUUGAAUGUUCCGAUGAAUACCAUGGACUGAGAGUAUGAAUGGGUUCGCCUAUUUCUGCUUCUCGGGAAGUGGAGUAAAUCUUAACAUUUAGAGGAAGGAGAAGUCGUAACA